rnacentral:lncRNA from 1 species
UUUAAAUACCUUCACAUGGAACAAGUGCCACGAGCUAAAGCUUUUUAUGUACUAGAAAAACAUGUAAGAAGUAUCAGUGGCUGGGAACUGAGGAAAUAUCAGUCAGAUUUAACAGUUUUAAUCGUACGCAAGCUAUGCAGUCAGGUUUGGGACUGGCGAUGUGGCUUAAUGGCCCAUGACAUAAAGGCCAGAGUACAUGAUCCAAUGAUCCCUUCCAACCCUUAGCUCUCUAAAGUAUUUUAGCUGUGUUCUGGAAAAUUUGGCUGCCCUCUCCUUUGCUCUCUUUCCUAUGACUAAGCCGGUGAUUAGUUCAUAGGGGCUAGUUUCAAUGACAGAUAGCAGAGUUCUUGAAGAAUUAAGUGAGGGCAGCAGGCAGAAGGUGAUGGCCACUGGCUGCCCAGUGCACAGCCUGUCAGAGGACUCUGGUACAUGCGCUCAUUCCCAGUCCAGCAGGCAUGGAAGACAAGAAGAGAUGAGGGUGUUGGAGCAGGAAAACAGGGAAAAUGAGACUUGAGCCUCGAUGGUGCUUAAGCACUUUUUAACUGGAAAGAGUUGGACUCUGAAUGUCUCAGGGGGAGACACUCUCUCCUAUCUUCAACCAUCUUUGUAGCUCGCCUCUGAAAUGUCUUCAGUGUUUCAACAUCUGUCUGAACGUCUGCCAAUGGAAUUUCAAAAGUGAGCAUCUGUGUAGAGGAUUGCUUGGGAAAAGUGUUUUGUUUGCUUGUUUUGUUUUUGUUUACCUGGUGAAAAUGAAGAUGGUAAGCAUCAGUGGAGGUGGUAAAAAGCACAGCAGCAAGAAUCAACGAGAUCAGAUAAGUGAACUGUGGAAUAUACAUGUAUAUAAACCCUAAAGAGGCUUUCCGAGAGAAGGUGUCUCUUCAUGAAGCUGCUUUGGCACGGCAGAAGACAUCCUGGCAGCAUCAUACAGGCUCUUUGAAAUUCUGGAUCUGAAUGAAGAGAUGGGACAGCAAGGCCAGACCCUGCCAUGGGAAGGCUGGAGCAUGGGUUCAGAGGGCCUGUGCCUGUCAGCAGAGGCUGGUGGACACACACAGCAUGGCCCAGACACAGCGCCAGCUCAUAGCUAGGGACACAGGCAGGGGACGAGAGCUACUGGGAAGAAAUGUUGCAAAAAGAUAAUUAAACCGUAAAAUUUUAUACUUGUGAGUUCUCAGGAGAUGUGAGGAAAGAGCGAAAUGAUUGCAGCCUGGGAACCUGGGAAGGUGGCUGAGAUGUGCAAGGAGCUACCACAUGUGUUGGUUCACCAGUUCGUGGAACAACUCCUUCCUCCCCUUAGAGAGCACACAUUAAUCCAGUUACGGCUUUAUAAGGCUGGCAGCACCAUCUAGUGGCAGCCUAGGCUGGCCCAGCAAAUAAUUCAUGUUUUCAGAGGGCAGCAGAUUUUUACAGCACUCUAAACCCUUGCUUUUAUCCCUGCUUGCAAACACAGGAGAAUGAAAAUAGUUUAAGUGUAGCAAUACAAAUGAUUUGAAUUUUAAAGUGUUUUUAGUCCAUCCUCAUUUUUAUCUGGCCAUUGUUACUAUAAUUUUUUCCUGACCAUUGUAAAAAUACAGCUUAUACCUUUUUAUAACUCUUUCUUUUUAUGUGCUGUGGAUUCUCCACAACUACACUUGAUGUUUGGUGUUUUCACCUUCAUAUCACAGUGCUCAGUGUCCUAACCCACUCCCUUAGGUUAAAUUUAUGUGCCUGUGAACGCCUGAACCAAGACAGAGGGGUGCAGAAGCGUCUCAUAUAAAUGUUGAGAGUCUAUAUUUAGUGAAAACUCAGCACAAGAGAAGACCAUAAUAGGAAUUGCAAAUCAUCUAUAGGAAUAAAUGUUUAUUCUUUAAAUCCGUAUGCUUACA